GAGUUUGAUCAUGGCUCAGAACGAACGCUGGCGGCAGGCUUAACACAUGCAAGUCGAACGCCCCGCAAGGGGAGUGGCAGACGGGUGAGUAACACGUGGGAACAYGCCCAAAGGUACGGAACAACUCCSGGAGACUGGAGCUAAUACCGUAUGUGUCCGCAAGGAGAAAGAUUUAUCGCCUUUGGAUUGGCCCGCGUCGGACUAGCUAGUUGGUGGGGUAAAAGCCUACCAAGGCGACGAUCCGUAGCUGGUUUGAGAGAACGACCAGCCACACUGGGACUGAGACACGGCCCAGACUCCUACGGGAGGCAGCAGUGGGGAAUCUUGGACAAUGGGCGCAAGCCUGAUCCAGCCAUGCCGCGUGGAUGAUGAAGGCCUUAGGGUUGUAAAAUCCUUUCGUUGGGGACGAUAAUGACGGUACCCAAAGAAGAAGCUCCGGCUAACUUCGUGCCAGCCGCCGCGGUAAUUCA
rnacentral:rRNA from 1 species